ACCUGGGGGCUGGCUCUGGCAUCAUCUUUUCCAUUCUGAGCAACAGAGUGGUGGUGAGACAGGAGCUCCUUCAGGAAGUGAUGGGGAGCUGCCACCAUAGGGUCAACAACCUCUUGGACUACAAGUGCAGACCACGGCCUUUGAAGCUGAUCACCUACUCUGCGAAGGAGAAGAUUGGUCAGGAGAUGAAGUACAGUGUUCUGGGCAGGAGCUCUGAGGACUUUGUCACCAACCUGAGAUAUGGCGAGCCCAACAGCAGGCAGUUUCCCCAUGUGCAGGAGGAGGAGUUGGAUGGAGGACCCCUGGAGGCCUGCCGGUCUGACCUUCUAGGAUCCAUCACCUGUAGGAUCCACCAUAAAGGCAGCUCUUGAUGCCCCCAAAGGAUGUCAGAAAGAGUGUGGGCCAAGCCAGCACCAGGACAGAUCUAAGGUCCCAGAGAGCACUCAGGUGGCAUAUGCCCUGACUGGAGGAGGGGCGACCCUGGCAAUGAGCCUUCUAGGCAUUGUUGGAUACUUUCUUUUGAAGAGCUAAUCCCCAAACCAGUGACAGCCUGAAGGAACCCCAAAUCCUGCAGCUGCAGAGACCAGUGCAGACACCCCUGGGCUCCGCUGUCUGCGAGACCCUCACCCUCGGGCCACCUAGGUUCUGUCUCUCCCUUUCCCUUUCUCACUGGCUGAAGGAUGGGCUAAUUGUACCAAGACCAAAGAAUCAGUAAGUGUAUCUUCAGGAAGGACUUCCACCGUAGUUUUCUAGACUUCUGAACCAGAAAGGAAGAAAGGAACAUUAAUUUGGCACCUGUUGGGUUCUCCCAGCAAUUUCUAGCUGAGUGACCUUGGGAAAAGCUCUUGACUCUCAGAGCUUGGGUCCCACCUUCUCUGGGAUGGGGGUAAUGAUCCACUUCCCACUGAUGUUGUCAGGAUUAAGUAAGGUCAUGUGGAGAAGUCACCCCCCAUGAUGUCUGGUGCCUAGCUAGUAUUCCGUGGAUUGUCUACAUCCUUCCACCAAGACUCACCAUUGUUGUCAUGACACAUCAUUCAUUUUACUGUUGGGGUGCCAAAAAAAAUCCAGACCCAACCACUGAAUUCUGUCCCACUGUAGCCACACCACCUGGUGCUUGAACCCCGUGACUCUGCGUACGCAGUUCCCAACGUCUUCCCAAGCACCUCCUUCGCUCAGCCCUCUUUUAGCUUUCUUUGUCAACUCCAAGUCUGGUGCUCAUCGUCUGUGACUACCAGAUGGAAGUAUAUGCACUUUCCCUGCCUAAAUUGCCAGGGUUCAAGCUGCCCCUAGGUUGAAUGCUGAACAUUAGCCACCUUGACUUUUAGGGCAGUGAAAUACUGUGCAUGAGGCUCUAAUGAUGGGUACGUGUCAUUACACAUUUGUCCAGACCCACAGAAACACUGAAAGUGGACCCAAAGGUGAACUGUGGACUUUGGGGCAUUAUGAUGUGUCCGUGUGGGGUCAUCAAUUGUAACAACAAUGGAUCCUCUGCUGAGGGAUGUUGAUAGUGGGGGAGGCUGUGCAUGAGGCGAGCAAGGGGUGUCCAGGAACUCUCUGUACCUUCCUCCCAAUUGUGCUGGGAAGCUAA